CGAAUAACUUCUCUCGUCAAGCCCUCAACAGCUGCUGCGAGUCCAUGAGGAACUCUAGGAGCUAUGACGAGGUCUCCCGAAGGAGCCUGAAGAUCCCGCCUCGCCAUUCCUUGCAUACUAAAGGGAAAAAUUUACAGGAACGACGUCCGUAAAUCGUUCAUGGCGAUGUUACUCAUGAGAUAAUGAGUAAAGAAUUUCACCAAACUUUCAACUAUGGAUGUAUCGAACUCAAUAUUCGAAUUGGAAAUGAAAAAUGUAUACGAAAACUGGACUUAUGCCGAGUUGGUGAAAACUGUACCUGUAGGUGAGUGACAGAUGAACGAUAUUAACGGGAUACCCUGAGAUUUCCUGCAGACGCUGCCUGAGAGACGCACUUUGACCUGUGCAACGUUUAGAUAUUCGUCGGUCUGACGACCGCGAAACCAGCAGC